rnacentral:rRNA from 1 species
GACGAACGCUGGCGGCGUGCUUAACACAUGCAAGUCGAACGGAAAGGCCCUGCUUUUGUGGGGUGCUCGAGUGGCGAACGGGUGAGUAACACGUGAGUAACCUGCCCUUGACUUUGGGAUAACUUCAGGAAACUGGGGCUAAUACCGGAUAGGAGCUCCUGCUGCAUGGUGGGGGUUGGAAAGUUUCGGCGGUUGGGGAUGGACUCGCGGCUUAUCAGCUUGUUGGUGGGGUAGUGGCUUACCAAGGCUUUGACGGGUCGCCGGCCUGAGAGGGUGACCGGCCACAUUGGGACUGAGAUACGGCCCAGACUCCUACGGGAGGCAGCAGUGGGGAAUAGUGCACAAUGGGCGGAAGCCUGAUGCAGCAUCGCCGCGUGCGGGAUGACGGCCUUCGGGUUGUAAACCGCUUGCGCCUGUGACGAAGCGUGAGUGACGGUAAUGGGUAAAGAGGCACCGGCUAACUACGUG